rnacentral:rRNA from 1 species
CCCACCUGACCCCAUGCCGAACUCAGAAGUGAAACGCCGUAGCGCCGAUGGUAGUGUGGGGUCUACCCAUGUGAGAGUAGGGAACUGCCAGGC